AAAUAUGGUACAACACAUAUGUUACGAAAAGUCAAAAACCAAACUGACAAACUAAUUAGUACACAUAAACUCAAACGGAACAGCACAAACGGGACAAGACGUCCCAUACGGGCUAAGUGCCGAAAUUUGGCAUGAAAAAUUGAGAUAAAGUUCCUGGAAAGCAAUUGCAACAUACUCCAACGGAAAAAUUUUUUACCUAAAAAGUUGUGUCCGAAAACUUUUUUAAAUAGGGCCCCCUACUAAAAAUUUUCCCCGGGCCUUCGCCAACCUCUCGGCGGCCCUGGUUCCAUGCAAGGUGUUCCCCGUAAUUACUUUAAAUAUAACUAAAGGUAGGAUAGAGCCACUAAAUGGAGCCAAAUCAACCUCAAAAGUGCUACUCUGCAACCAAGUGCAUUGUGGG